rnacentral:tRNA from 1 species
UAUUAUACAGUGUCAGUGCACGAAGAAUUUUGAUUUCUAAAGAAGGAUUAUAUAUCCAUUUAAUAA